ACUAGCUGAGAGCAGUCAUUCGAGGUGGAGGACUUUUCCCCACCUUCUUCCCCAGAGGAUAGGGAGGAGGGCUUAUUGGGGGAAGCAAGCGGUCCUGAACCGUAUCUUUUUGAGCCACUAGCUCGUGAGUUGUCAGAGGCCCCUGGAGUCGAGCCAGCAGGAGUAUCAAGGCAUCGAAUGGGUCCAGUCUCUGAGUGGUGCACCUGCGGCCACUGCACAUCAUUGUCUGCCAGAGAAAAUGUGUGCUGCAGAGAAACGCCCAAGGUAAUGCUCAGGUGUCAGCAGGUGGGUGU